rnacentral:misc_RNA from 1 species
AACAGAAUUGACCUUAGCCUUGCCCGGUGUGUCUCGAGCAUCAACAGAGAUUACUAACGGAGGGAAAACAGGGACUAAACGUGGAUUUUUGGAUACCGUUGAUCUAAAUCUUGUUAGCUCUCGAUCUCCUACCGACAAAGAUUGUACUGAGUCGGAGAACCAUGUCUCGGGCGUGGCGAAGCCUCCGGCAGCAAAGGAACAAGUGGUAGGGUGGCCGCCAGUGAGAUCAUAUAGAAAGAACGCCAUGAAAAGCUGUAAAUAUGUGAAGGUGGCGGUGGACGGAGCCCCAUACUUAAGGAAGGUUGAUCUUGAGAUUUACAAUAGCUAUCAGCAGCUCUUGAGUGCCUUAGAGGACAUGUUCUCUUGCUUCACCAUACGCAAUUAUUUGAAUGAGAGGAAAAUGGUGAAUGGAGUGGAAAAUGUGCCUACUUAUGAAGACAAAGAUGGUGACUGGAUGAUGCUUGGAGAUGUACCAUGGAAAAUGUUUGUUGAAUCAUGUAAGCGAUUAAGGCUGAUGAAAAGCUCAGAGGCAAAUGGAUUAGCUCCAAGGACACCAUCAAAAUGCUCAAGCACAAGUGGCUAAAGGCUUGGAAUGAAGGAAACAAGUGGUGUACAGUAGAGAGGCUUUUGUCUUCAGUUUCUUUUAUAUAACACAGAGUUGUUUUAGGUUGGAGAGUUUUGAUUUAGAAAAAGAGAAAUAAGAGAGGCCUUCCUAUAAUUUCCUCUACGUUGUAGUAUGGCUCUAGUGCAAUUUAAUGUUGUGGGCUUUUCUCUCCAUUUUCGGCCUUUUUUACCCCACUUGCUGAUAACCUUUUGUUUUGGGAUCUUCUGCCCUUUGGAUAUAUAUAUAUAUAUGUUCUCUCGGUUGAC